rnacentral:rRNA from 1 species
GGAGUUAGCCGGUGCUUCUUCUGUGAGUGAUGUCCUUCCUGCCGGCUAUUAACCCGCAGGCCUUCUUCCUCACUGAAAGUGCUUUACAACCCGAAGGCCUUCUUCACACACGCGGCAUGGCUGGAUCAGGGUUGCCCCCAUUGUCCAAUAUUCCCCACUGCUGCCUCCCGUAGGAGUCUGGGCCGUGUCUCAGUCCCAGUGUGGCUGAUCAUCCUCUCAGACCAGCUACGGAUCGUCGCCUUGGUGAGUCGUUACCUCACCAACCAGCUAAUCCGACAUAGGCUCAUCCGAUAGCGCGAGGCCCGAAGGUCCCCCGCUUUCCCCCGUAGGGCGUAUGCGGUAUUAGCCUGGGUUUCCCCAGGUUAUCCCCCACUACCGGGCAGAUUCCUAUGCAUUACUCACCCGUCCGCCGCUCGCCACCAGGGAGCAAGCUCCCCGUGCUGCCGCUCGACUUGCAUGUGUUAGGCCUGCCGCCAGCGUUCAAUCUGAGCCAGGAUCAAACUCUGA